ensembl:misc_RNA Metazoa_SRP Metazoan signal recognition particle RNA
GCUAGGUGUGGUAUCUGAUGCAUGUGAUCUCUGCUCCUGGAGAAGCUGAGACUUGUGGAUCACUUGAGCUCUGGAGUUCUGAGCUGUAUUGGGCUGAGCUGAUUGGGUACCAAUACUAAAUCUGGCACCAAUGUGAUAAGCUUAGAGAACAGAGGGACCACCAGGUUGCUUAAGGAGGGGCAAAGAGGCCCAGGUUGGAAACAAAGUAGCUCAAAACUUCCACACUCAUCAGCAAUGGGAUUGGGCCUAUGAGUAGCUACUAUACUUUCAUUCUGGGUGAGAUAGGGAGACCAGAUCUCAA